rnacentral:tRNA from 1 species
GGCUGGGUAGCUCAGGUGGUUAGAGCGAUGGAUUCAUAACCCAUAGGUCGGCGGUUCGAUCCCGCCCCCAGCCACCA